rnacentral:lncRNA from 1 species
AAUAUUUAUAUAAUAUUUUAUUUAUAAAUUUGUAAUUAUUUAUUACUAUUUUUAAAUAUAUAAAUUUUAUGUAUUAUUAAUAUAUGUUUAUUAUUAAUACAUGAAUAUAUUUAAUCUAUAUAUAAAAAUUAUAAUAAUAAUAUAUAUAGUAUAUUAAUUAUUAUAUAUUUAUUAUAUAGCCGAAUUUUUGAUCAUGAAUUUUUAAUUGGUGAACGUAUUAUAUCCGUAUAAAUCACGUAUCCGAAUAAUUACCGAACCCAUUUUUUAGCCGUAUUUUUCAACGAAUUUCAAAAUUUAAAAACAAAUUUUAUCCGAAUUAUACCCGUACCGAAUUUUUGCCGAAUUCGAAUUAACUAACUAUGAAUACAACUAGGAAUACAAACCCACUAAGAUUAGAAAUAUCUCAAUAAAAUUAUGCAUAAUUUAAACUUAAUUUAAUGGGAUAAUCAAAAUAGAAUAUGGUUAGAAGACCUCGCGGUACUAGAAUUCGAGACAUAUCUAACAAUCUCCACCUUGACUUGAAUUCUUUAUUUUCUCCACCAAAUUUCAAAAGCUCCUGAAGUGCUACUGCGCAUACGAACAAGUUUACGGAAUACUUGAACUUGAUCGCCGAAAACUUAAUGAGCAAAUCUGCGGGAUUCUCUGAAGUACAAAUCUUCUCAUUCUCUAAUUACACAUUUUUGCAACCUCUGUUGCAUUAGAACGACAACUUAUCGUAGAGUAAAACUGCUGGAGUGAUCAAACUUCUUGAUCUCAAAUUCAUGUGUAAGAAAUCACCAUCUCUACAAGAAGUUAUUCUAGACUCUUAAGAUUGGACAAUUCUGUUUUAAAAUUAAAAUUAAUUGAGUACUCAAACUGUGGAAGGUCUCUUUAAUACUAUCAAAAACAGGACGUGGCCAAAUAAAGAAAGACCGACUCACAGCAGCUCUCAGUUAAAUCUCGUGAUAGAUUUCUUAAGAAAGGGUAGGAUGUCAACGGGACGGAUUUAGGGUGAAUUUUUUAAAAUCCGAAUCCGAACCUAAAUUCGAAUUCGACAGAUUUUAAAAAUCCAUAUCCAAAUCCGAACCCGACCAAAAUCCUCAAACCCGAACUCAAACCCAAACCGGCCCGAACCCGAAACAAUUAUUUCUCUUUUCAAUAUUUCAAAAUAUAUUAUGUUAAAUUUAAAAUUUUAAAAUACAAAUUCAAAUAUAAUAUCAAAUUUUCAUCUACAUAUUAUAUAUAAUGUAAAAUAAAUUCGGGUUCUGAUCGGGUUCGGAUCAGGUACAGUCAAAAUCCGUAUCCGUAUCCAUAUCCAUCGGAUUUUUACUUUUGAUAUCUAUAUCCGAAACCAUAUCCAUUUAGCAUCGGUAAAUUCGCUCCGUUCGGAUUCGAAUUUAGAUAAAAUUUCGGAUAUCCGUACCCAUCGACAUCCCUAAGUAAGGGGAGUUAAAGACUGAAACACCACAUUCCUUAGUUAGUAUUGAGGAAAAUGGUACUUAUAAUUGAUAAUUUGCCAAAAAGAGAUUAUAUAGGAGUAGAAUUGUGUACGCUGCGCUGUUGAGAAUGAAACUAUAGACCAUCUAUU